rnacentral:rRNA from 1 species
UGAGUAACGCGUAUGCAACCUACCUACAACAGGGGAAUAACCCGUUGAAAGACGGACUAAUACCCCAUAACACAGGGAUCCCGCAUGGGAAUAUUUGUUAAAGAUUUAUCGGUUGUAGAUGGGCAUGCGUUCCAUUAGCUAGUUGGUGAGGUAACGGCUCACCAAGGCAACGAUGGAUAGGGGAACUGAGAGGUUUAUCCCCCACACUGGUACUGAGACACGGACCUGACUCCUACGGGAGGCAGCAGUGAGGAAUAUUGGUCAAUGGGCGCAAGCCUGAACCAGCCACGUCGCGUGAAGGAAGACGGCCCUACGGGUUGUAAACUUCUUUUGUAAGGGAAUAAAGUGUAGUACGUGUACUAUUUUGCAUGUACCUUACGAAUAAGGAUCGGCUAACUCCGUGCCAGCAGCCGCGGUAAUACGGAGGAUCCGAGCGUUAUCCGGAUUUAUUGGGUUUAAAGGGUGCGCAGGCGGGAGAUUAAGUCGGCGGUGAA